rnacentral:rRNA from 1 species
UGCCAGCCGCCGCGGUAAUACGUAGGGUGCAAGCGUUAAUCGGAAUUACUGGGCGUAAAGCGUGCGCAGGCGGUUAUGCAAGACAGAGGUGAAAUCCCCGGGCUCAACCUGGGAACUGCCUUUGUGACUGCAUGGCUAGAGUACGGUAGAGGGGGAUGGAAUUCCGCGUGUAGCAGUGAAAUGCGUAGAUAUGCGGAGGAACACCGAUGGCGAAGGCAAUCCCCUGGACCUGUACUGACGCUCAUGCACGAAAGCGUGGGGAGCAAACAGGAUUAGAUA